rnacentral:lncRNA from 1 species
GGAAGCAAUGAGCAGCUCCAUGGCAAGUACAAGCUAAAUUAUCUGUACAACAAGGAGAGGCUGCAAGAAGUUAAGGUUUUCAACCAAGGCAAGAAAUUCUACAUAUUCUUCUGAAUGAAGAGAUGUCGUUCCCUGUUGUUACAUUAUCGAAUAAUUGCAUAAUGCUUUGGUUUUUUAUUAUUAUGGAGAAGAUGACGACUGCCCUUGUUUUUUGGAAAAUCUGAAAUGGAUAUAUUUGACUCCAUGUCGUUAUACAAUACUUGCAAGAAGCCUCUAAUAACUUAUCUACUCAGGCUGUUAGCUGAUAGUUCUUUCCAACUAAUCCAGAAACUCAGCUUGUCAUUUGAAUGGAUUUUGUCAGUUGCAUGGUCUGUAUAUGAUGCUAGAACAAAUUACUCCAUUGUUGUGUCCUGUAAAACUGGAUAACUUUGAUCUGACAAAAACAGGUAGGAUAUAUAUGCCAAUGUUAUUGUGAGAAACUGAGAUAUCAAAUAGAUUAUGCUAAUUAUAUCUUAUAAAUAUUUUCCUAUUUCUUGUUACAUGUUUUCAAGCUCGAUUAUAUCCACUGCAGGGUAACCUUGAAAAGAAGCUUGCAACUUAAGCUACAGAAAAACAUUACAGAAAAUGAGAUCUCACGUUGUGAGUAUUUAGUUGAUGCACUUGUGUAUUUUAUGAUGUCGCACCUCUGUUUUCGUUGACUUUUGGUUCCUGUAUGUAAAUUCUAUGGAAUUGUAUGAUGUGUGACUUUGUAAAAUCUUCAUGUAAGCUAUUGAUAUUGGGCUUCUAUGUUAUAAAUAUUCUGAGUAAUUGAAAAG